AGCAGCACGGGAGCGACCCGUUGGCUGGCAGACAAUCCAGUCCCAGCACACGGCAAGCGUGAUGGGGUUGGCUUUGUGCUUAUCCCCGUCUUCCAAUAACGGGAAAGACUUAAUGCAUCGCACCGAAAUACAUAAUGCCUCGUCAACGUUAUGGAACGGCAACUGCAUCGCUCGGGGAGAAUGCUGUUCUCCUCGCGGUUCCGUCGCCCCA
rnacentral:sRNA from 17 species